GAUGAACGCUGGCGGCGUGCCUAAUACAUGCAAGUCGAGCGAAUGGAUUAAGAGCUUGCUCUUAUGAAGUUAGCGGCGGACGGGUGAGUAACACGUGGGUAACCUGCCCAUAAGACUGGGAUAACUCCGGGAAACCGGGGCUAAUACCGGAUAACAUUUUGAACCGCAUGGUUCGAAAUUGAAAGGCGGCUUCGGCUGUCACUUAUGGAUGGACCCGCGUCGCAUUAGCUAGUUGGUGAGGUAACGGCUCACCAAGGCAACGAUGCGUAGCUGACCUGAGAGGGUGAUCGGCCACACUGGGACUGAGACACGGCUCAGACUCCUACGGGAGGCAGCAGUAGGGAAUCUUCCGCAAUGGACGAAAGUCUGACGGAGCAACGCCGCGUGAGUGAUGAAGGCUUUCGGGUCGUAAAACUCUGUUGUUAGGGAAGAACAAGUGCUAGUCGAAUAAGCUGGCACCUUGACGGUACCUAACCAGAAAGCCACGGCUAACUACGUGCCAGCCGCCGCAGUAA
rnacentral:rRNA from 1 species